GACAGAGGUGCCAAGCGUUAGGCGGAAUCACUGGGCUUAAAGCGUGUGUAGGCGGAUCGUUAAGUACCUUGUGAAAUCCCACGGCUCAACCGUGGAACUGCUGGGUAUACUGGCGAUCUUGAGCCACCUAGGGGCGAGCGGAACAAGCGGUGGAGCGGUGAAAUGCGUAGAUAUCGCUUGGAACGCCAACGGUGAAAACAGCUCGCUGGGGGUGUGCUGACGCUGAGACACGAAAGCCAGGGGAGCAAACGGG
rnacentral:rRNA from 1 species